UACGUAGGGUGCAAGCGUUGUCCGGAAUUAUUGGGCGUAAAGAGCUCGUAGGCGGUCUGUCGCGUCGGCUGUGAAAUCCCGAGGCUCAACCUCGGGUCUGCAGUCGAUACGGGCAAACUAGAGUAUUGCAGGGGAGACUGGAAUUCCUGGUGUAGCGGUGAAAUGCGCAGAUAUCAGGAGGAACACCGGUGGCGAAGGCGGGUCUCUGG
rnacentral:rRNA from 1 species